rnacentral:rRNA from 1 species
GACGGAGGAUGCAAGUGUUAUCCGGAAUCACUGGGCGUAAAGCGUCUGUAGGUGGUUUAAAAAAGUCCACUGUUAAAGAUUGAAGCUUAACUUCAAAAAUGCCGUGGAAACUUUUAAACUUGAGUAUGAUAGGGGUAGAGGGAAUUUCCAGUGGAGCGGUGAAAUGCGUAGAUAUUGGAAAGACCACCAAUGGCAAAGGCACUCUGACUGGGCCAUUACUGACACUGAGAGACGAAAGCUAGGGGAGCGAAUGGG